rnacentral:rRNA from 1 species
GAUGAACACUAGCUACAGGCUUAACACAUGCAAGUCGAGGGGCAGCAUGGUCUUAGCUUGCUAAGGCCGAUGGCGACCGGCGCACGGGUGAGUAACACGUAUCCAACCUGCCGUCUACUCUUGGACAGCCUUCUGAAAGGAAGAUUAAUACAAGAUGGCAUCAUGAGUCCGCAUGUUCACAUGAUUAAAGGUAUUCCGGUAGACGAUGGGGAUGCGUUCCAUUAGAUAGUAGGCGGGGUAACGGCCCACCUAGUCUUCGAUGGAUAGGGGUUCUGAGAGGAAGGUCCCCCACAUUGGAACUGAGACACGGUCCAAACUCCUACGGGAGGCAGCAGUGAGGAAUAUUGGUCAAUGGGCGAGAGCCUGAACCAGCCAAGUAGCGUGAAGGAUGACUGCCCUAUGGGUUGUAAACUUCUUUUAUAAAGGAAUAAAGUCGGGUAUGGAUACCCGUUUGCAUGUACUUUAUGAAUAAGGAUCGGCUAACUCCGUGCCAGCAGCCGCGGUAAUACGGAGGAUCCGAGCGUUAUCCGGAUUUAUUGGGUUUAAAGGGAGCGUAGAUGGAUGUUUAAGUCAGUUGUGAAAGUUUGCGGCUCAACCGUAAAAUUGCAGUUGAUACUGGAUAUCUUGAGUGCAGUUGAGGCAGGCGGAAUUCGUGGUGUAGCGGUGAAAUGCUUAGAUAUCACGAAGAACUCCGAUUGCGAAGGCAGCCUGCUAAGCUGCAACUGACAUUGAGGCUCGAAAGUGUGGGUAUCAAACAGGAUUAGAUACCCUGGUAGUCCACACGGUAAACGAUGAAUACUCGCUGUUUGCGAUAUACUGCAAGCGGCCAAGCGAAAGCGUUAAGUAUUCCACCUGGGGAGUACGCCGGCAACGGUGAAACUCAAAGGAAUUGACGGGGGCCCGCACAAGCGGAGGAACAUGUGGUUUAAUUCGAUGAUACGCGAGGAACCUUACCCGGGCUUAAAUUGCAGAUGAAUUACGGUGAAAGCCGUAAGCCGCAAGGCAUCUGUGAAGGUGCUGCAUGGUUGUCGUCAGCUCGUGCCGUGAGGUGUCGGCUUAAGUGCCAUAACGAGCGCAACCCUUGUUGUCAGUUACUAACAGGUUCUGCUGAGGACUCUGACAAGACUGCCAUCGUAAGAUGUGAGGAAGGUGGGGAUGACGUCAAAUCAGCACGGCCCUUACGUCCGGGGCUACACACGUGUUACAAUGGGGGGUACAGAGGGCCGCUACCACGCGAGUGGAUGCCAAUCCCCAAAACCUCUCUCAGUUCGGACUGGAGUCUGCAACCCGACUCCACGAAGCUGGAUUCGCUAGUAAUCGCGCAUCAGCCACGGCGCGGUGAAUACGUUCCCGGGCCUUGUACACACCGCCCGUCAAGCCAUGGGAGCCGGGGGUACCUGAAGUGCGUAACCGCGAGGAGCGCCCUAGGGUAAAACU